rnacentral:rRNA from 1 species
CGGGGGGCUGCAGCAAGGAAUCUUCCGCAAUGGGCGAAAGCCUGACGGAGCAACGCCGCGUGUGGGAUGACGCCUUUCGGGGUGUAAACCACUUUUCUCAGGGAAGAAGCACUGACGGUACCUGAGGAAGAAGGACCGGCUAACUACGUGCCAGCAGCCGCGGUAAUACGUAGGGUCCGAGCGUUGUCCGGAGUUACUGGGCGUAAAGCGCGCGCAGGCGGCGGUGUAAGCAUGGCGUGAAAGCCCCUGGCUUAACCAGGGAGGGUCGUCGUGGACUGCACCGCUUGAGGGCGGUAGGGGCUGGUGGAAUGCCUGGUGUAGUGGUGAAAUGCGUAGAGAUCAGGCGGAACACCCGUGGCGAAGGCGGCCAGCUGGGCCGUCCCUGACGCUGAGGCGCGAAGGCGUGGGGAGCGAACGGGAUUAGAUACCCGAGUAGUC